rnacentral:lncRNA from 1 species
CAGGCCAGCGUGUGUUUAUCCGGAGGGUCUCCCCCUCCUGCGCAGGUCAGGCCCCCACGACCUCGAUCCAGGCCAGGGCCAGGCCCCGCGGGCUCCCAGCCGGCUUUGGCUGAGGCUGAGCUCGGGGCGGGCAGGGGCCGGGGGCCUGCCGGGUGCCGGGUCCGCAGCUGUGCGCGCAGCUCCCCGCGCCGCGGUUCUCGCCUCUUUGCCAGGUGCCCGGGGGCCUGCGACGACUGUCCCUGUGCUGGGAAGGCGAAGGCCGCCCUGGGGCGGGGAGAGGCUUCGCGCCUCGGGGAGCAGGAGCCACGGCCGUCCGCGCUCCUCGGGGCUGGGGCGGGGCGCAGUGCCGCGGCCCCGGCGUCCCCGCUGCGGGCGGAGGCCUCUCGGGUCCCUCUAGGCUCCGCGGAGGCCGGGCCUCUCGGUGGUCGCCGGGGCCGGGGCGGGCCGGGGCGGGGCCGCAGAAGGAGCCAGGCGCGGGGAGCCCAUUGGUGCCGGACGUUGCGUGGCCGCGACGCUUCAGGCCCGGGCUUCCGGGCGCUCGGGCUCCUCGCAGCGGGCCCCGCAGACCUCGGCCCGGCGCGCAGAUUCUUUGACUCUGCACAUAUAGACAAGUCUCUGUUCCUGGCUCAUCAUGGCUUCAACUUCAAGGAGCGAUGGUUCAAUUCAAUCAGUGCGACUGGAUCUGGAACCCCCUGCAGUGUCCUGCUCUUGUGUAUUGUGACGGGUUCGGUUCCUGGGUCCGAUGGUUGA